rnacentral:rRNA from 1 species
AAACCAGCACCUCAAGUGGUCAGGAUGAUUAUUGGGCCUAAAGCAUCCGUAGCCUGUUCUGUAAGUUUUCGGUUAAAUCCACUAGCUCAACUAGUGGGCUGCCGAAAAUACUGUAGAACUAGGGAGUGGGAGAGGUAGACGGUAUUCGGUAGGAAGGGGUAAAAUCCUUUGAUCUAUCGAGGACCACCUGUGGCGAAGGCGGUCUACCAGAACACGUUCGACGGUGAGGGAUGAAAGCUGGGGGAGCAAACCGGAUUAGAAACCCCGGUAGUCC